UGAUAUCUGAUAGCUGAAGAUAUCAGCUAUCAUACGGAGUUUAAGCACUUUCUCAUUUGACCCCUUGUAGUCAGUAAAGCUAUAUUUAAAUUUUCGAUUUUUUGAAUUAAAAUAAAAACGUCAUUUUUUUCAUCCAACUUAACUGUUCAGACGCUAAAAACGUAUGAAAAAAGGCCGUAAAUAUCAAAAAAGAUUGAUAAAUAUCUUAAAUACCCCUUUUUUCUUCCGACGGAUGAAAUUAACUUCUGAACUCCUCCUCCAUUAUUUAUCAAAACAUUAAACACCCAAACCGAUUAGAAGAAAGAAAUACACAGAAAUCUCUCAUUAGAACAUAUAUCCUCCUCCCAUUUAAAUCUUCAAAUCUUCAAAGUGUUUUCAGAUAUCAAACAUUUAUAAUGAUCAGUUGAUGUGGAAAGAUAAUUGGGGAAAGAUAGGGCGGUGUCGGGAAGGAAAAUCCGAAUAGAGAGAGGGGUCAGAGGGUCGAUGUGGAUAUCUUUGGUGGCGACCCCAUCAUCGGAGAAAGCUGGGGUUAGCGGCGGCGAUGGGCUCGUCGGUCCGCGAAACGACACCGUAUGAAUUGGUGGUGGGAUUGUGAGUUUGUUCAACAAGGGCUUGUAAUCGGCGUUUAAAGAGGAAUUUGAAAAUUACACUGUAUAGUUUCACGGUUAAGGCCGGCAUUUCUUACCCAGAAGAGAGAGAAAGAGAAAUUUGAGAUUUUUUAGAAUUAAUUUAGAGCGUUGAGUUUGCAAAGGGAACAUAGUUUCUGCAGAAUCUGAUAUGCUAUAGGGGUGUGCUGAUUGUUAGUUGUUUAGGCCUGCGAUUGCUUUUGGUUUCCUGUAUCUUCAGUAAUUUAAUGUUGUUGCUGGAAUAUAAUUUUAGUGGUUGUUCCUCUUAUUCUGCCACAAUUCUGUUGGUAAUUAACAACAAUUGUUUUGUGUUGUCUUCGAAGCAAGGCAUUGAAUCUGGGGAGCAGAAUAAGGGAUAUGUCAAGCAAGCAGUUUGUGGAUGUUUGAAAUUUGCAGAGAGAAAUCGAAGCGUGAGUCUUACGAUGGCUGUAGGAUAAUUUAUGUUUUGACAACCUUUUUUCUUUAUUCUCUUUACAGAAAUUCUAGGGAGACAUUUUUUUGGGGACAUUCUAGCGAUUUUUUUUUUUUUUAAUUUUAUUUUUGUAGUACCUCUUAAAAAAUGUAUAAUAUUUAUUUUAACUGAUUAUAAAAAUUAGUGUUUUAAGUAUAAUUUGGAUACAUACAAAAAACAAGGUCUGUACAGUCUGUAUAAUCCUGUUUUUUAUAUGUAUCCAAUUUAUACCUAAAACACUGUUUUUUAUAAAAAUUUCAGUUGAAAUAAAUAUUAUACAUUUUUUAAGAGGUACUACAAAAAAAAAAAAAAAUAUCAACAAAAAAUGUCCCCCUAGAAUUUUCCAAAGUUAAAACGAUACUUUUUCUGCGAAAUAGGAAUUCUCACCGAUUUCACCCCUUCCUAUUCUCUGUCAAAUAUAACCACCGAGUUUUCUUUACGUUUCGUUCUUCUCUACUAGCUUUCCUCCCUUCCUUCUUUCUUUCUAUCAGCUCUCUCAACACUCGCUUUCAUUUUCUCUCUCUCCUCUCAUCUAGAUAUAUCUAUACCUAUAUAUCUUUGAUCGGAGUUUAGCUGCCGGUGAAGCAUGGGUAUCCCGUGGCGGAGAGAUGGAUAGAUAUAAAAGACAGAUAUAUAUAUAUAUAUAUAUAUAUAUAUAUAUAUAUAUAUAUAUANNNNNNNNNNNNNNNNNNNNNNNNNNNNNNNNNNNNNNNNNNNNNNNNNNNNNNNNNNNNNNNNNNNNNNNNNNNNNNNNNNNNNNNNNNNNNNNNNNNNNNNNNNNNNNNNAAAAUGUCUAGAAUGUCCACACAAAAAUGUCCCCCUAGAAUUACUCUUUUCUUUAAUACUCAUAUAUCUGUUGUAUUAUAUUUUGUGCAAAUUGAUUUGGGUAUGGAUGGAUUCUUGGUUUGAAAAAGAAUAUAUAUUUCCCUAAAUAUGACAACCCCUGUAAUUCCGGUGAUUAUAAGGACCCCUGUUUUUUAAAAUUUUAAAAGACGAAAUUGAAUUUAAAAGGCAUGUGCAAUGUUCUUCUCCUACUUCUGAAUGUGAUGAAAAAGGCAUGUGCAAGAUUGGUAUUUAAAAGGACCCCUGUUAUUUUUUUGAUUGAGAAGGAAGAUGGAAGCUUUGUAUUCUCUGCUCCCUUGCCUGUAAUCAUGGAGGGUAAUUAAGGGUAAUUAAGUCUUUAGCCAACUCAAAUAACGAAGUUAAGACGAAAAAUAUUUAUUCACUUCAAUUCAAAAAGUCGGGAAUUUAAAUAUAACUUUACUAACUACAGGUGAUUAAGUAGAAAACCGCUUAAACCCCAGAUAGUCAUCUGAACUUAACCCAAAAAGUUUUAAGCUCUUCCUGAAAUAUUGGAAUUAAUCAUCAUCUGAUAAGUCCACUGAAUCUAAAUUUGAACUCAAAUCUAGUAGAGGUGGAAAAUCGUUACGCCUGUGUGCAUCAUGUUGCUUAUGAAUGUCCGUAAUACAUGAUUGUAUUGGAGUCGACAAUCCAAGUCUUGACAAACCUCUUUCUGUAUUAGACUGGAGUGAUUUAUCAUAAAGGCCGCCAGAAUGGUUUGUCAAUAUUGAAGGUUCUCGUGGACAGGACGGAGCUAGCGGGAGUGAAUGAGAGGUUUUCU
rnacentral:lncRNA from 1 species